GACGGAGGAUGCAAGCGUUAUCCGGAAUGAUUGGGCGUAAAGCGUCCGCAGGUGGCAGUUCAAGUCUGCUGUCAAAGACCGGGGCUUAACUUCGGAAAGGCAGAGGAAACUGAACAGCUAGAGUAUGGUAGGGGCAGAGGGAAUUCCUGGUGUAGCGGUGAAAUGCGUAGAGAUCAGGAAGAACAUCGGUGGCGAAGGCGCUCUGCUGGACCAUAACUGACACUCAGGGACGAAAGCUAGGGGAGCGAAUGGG
rnacentral:rRNA from 1 species